GACGAACGCUGGCGGCGUGCUUAACACAUGCCAGUCGAACGCUGAAGCUUGGUGCUUGCACUGGGUGGAUGAGUGGCGAACGGGUGAGUAAUACGUGAGUAACCUGCCCUUGACUCUGGGAUAAGCCUGGGAAACUGGGUCUAAUACUGGAUACGACAUGUCACCGCAUGGUGGUGUGUGGAAAGGGUUUUACUGGUUUUGGAUGGGCUCACGGCCUAUCAGCUUGUUGGUGGGGUAAUGGCUCACCAAGGCGACGACGGGUAGCCGGCCUGAGAGGGUGGCCGGCCACACUGGGACUGAGACACGGCCCAGACUCCUACGGGAGGCAGCAGUGGGGAAUAUUGCACAAUGGGCGGAAGCCUGAUGCAGCGACGCCGCGUGAGGGAUGACGGCCUUCGGGUUGUAAACCUCUUUCAGCACGGAAGAAGCGAAAGUGACGGUACGUGCAGAAGAAGCGCCGGCUAACUACGUG
rnacentral:rRNA from 1 species